rnacentral:rRNA from 1 species
UACGAAGGGGGCUAGCGUUGCUCGGAAUUACUGGGCGUAAAGGGCGCGUAGGCGGGUCGUUUAGUUAGAGGUGAAAGCCCAGGGCUCAACCCUGGAAUUGCCUUUAAUACUGGCGGCCUUGAGUAUGGCAGAGGUGUGUGGAACUCCGAGUGUAGAGGUGAAAUUCGUAGAUAUUCGGAAGAACACCAGUGGCGAAGGCGACACACUGGGCCAUUACUGACGCUGAUGCGCGACAGCGUGGGGAGCAAACAGG